UGAUAUAAUACAACUUUGUAACUUAAUAAUGUACAUCAAAACCAUGAUAUUAAUUUAUAUCUAACAUUGCUAUUUUCGAAAGAAAAACCCGUCAAAAUCUAGUAAUCUUAUUAUAUUUGUAUAUAGCACUAGGGUUGUAAUUAACUCCUACCAUGCUCUAAUUUUACCUUUGAUCGUAUAGUGAACAUUUCCACAACAAAGCUUUAAUGAAAUAACCUAAUAAUUAUUUAUAUCAGGGUUCAUGAGCUUCCAUCGGUAGAUAUGUUCGUAACCACGGCGGAUCCGGUUCGCGAGCCACCGAUUCUUGUUGUGAACACCGUGCUUUCGCUGUUAGCUGUGAAUUAUCCGGCGAAUAAACUAGCAUGUUAUGUUUCAGACGAUGGAUGCUCACCUCUCACUUACUUCUCUCUCAAGGAAGCUUCUAUGUUCGCCAAGAUUUGGGUUCUUUUCUGCAAGAAAUACAGCGUUAGAGUUAGAGCUCCUUUUAGAUAUUUUUUGAACCCUAUAGACGCAAAAGAUGAUUCAGAAUUCAGUAGGGAUUGGGAAAUGACAAAGGUAACUAAAGAGCCAUGCUAUGUUUUUUAUGUGUACUUUAACUUCUCAUGUUUUACCUUUCUUGAAAUUAUAUCUUUGUUGUUGUAACAAUAUAUAGAGGGAGUACGAGGAGUUAGUGCAGAAAGUGGAAGACGCCACCGGAAAUUCUUAUUGGUUGGAUGCUGGCGAUGAUUUUGAAGCUUUCUCAAACACAAAACCAAGUGACCAUUCAACUAUAGUGAAGGUAUUUCUACAAGCUAUUUAAGUUUACAAAAGAUCUAAUAUCUAAUAUAUACUAAUAUUUACUUACAUAGCAAAAGGUUAAAGUCAACUUGGACUAGGCGAUGUAUCUUUUUUUUUUAAAAAAGGGUUUUCAUAUUUAAAUUGCAGUGCUAAAAAUAAAGUUACAAGGCUAUGAGUUUUGACAUUAUAGAGAUCAAAGUCAAGCUUAGGCGAUGUAUCUUUGUAGAGUGUUUUUUUUUUCUGGGUUGGACUAAUCAAUCUAGGAUGGUCGUUCUAAUAUAAUGUAUAGUUGACAAAAAGAUUAAUUAUCAGAUUACAUGUAGCUGAAAUUGUGGUUGUGUUUUUAAAGGUGAUAUGGGAGAACGAGGAAGGUGUGGGAGACGAGAAAGAGGUCCCUCAUUUUGUUUACAUUUCAAGAGAGAAAAAACCGAAUUACCUUCAUCAUUACAAAGCUGGAGCCAUGAACUUUUUGGUUGGUUAAUUUUCUCGCACAUCUCUAUUUUUUUAGAAAAAAGUUUUCAUAGUACAUAAGCUGUGUUAAUUAUUCCGGUGAGUCCAUAUAAUCAAUAUUAUUGGUUGGAAUUAGAUAUUGACUAUCAUAAAUAUUACAUCUAUUUGGCUGAAAUGGUGUACAUUUGAAGGAAGGUAACAUAGUAAUGGAGAAAAUGACACUUGCUUCCCUGAUUGAUAUCACUUGAUUGAUGGGCCCAACUAUCUACAUUAUUAAAAGUGAAGUAGCUAUUUGAAAAUGUUCUUAUUUCAUUAGUUAAUUUUCUAUUUUUUGCUUGUUUUUUUCAGUUACAUUUAUGAAAUAUUUUAAAACGAAUAAAACUGUCUAAUUUAUUACUUGUCUUUUCAGUUACAUUAAUGAAAUAUGCUUAAAUGAAUUUAAACUUCCUAUUUUAUUGUUUGUCUUUUUCAGUUACCUUAAUGAAAUAUCCUUAAAUAAAUUUGGACAUAAUGUCAUUUAAUCAACCAAAAAAACUCAUGAGUUAUCCUUACGUGCACAAUUUUAAUAAUGGAGAUUUUUAAAAACGUGCAUCAUUAAAAUGUUACCUAAAACAUGCAGCACUAAUAUAUAACAUGCAUCAAUAAAACUAGAAUUUGACUCACACAAUUGUACGGAUAUUAUUUUCAGUUGAUUAAAUUUAAAAAUAAUUAUUUAUUCAAAAAAUAUUUAAGAAUGGCUAUGUUUUUAAAAAUUAUAUGGUAUUAUUUGCUCAUAACUCAUUUGUCAUUUGAUAAAUUGUUAGAAAGAAAAUUUUAGCAUAAUAUAACUCAGUUGUCAUUUGCUAAAUUUAUGGUUUUUAUUUAUAUUUUUUAUUAUUUAAUUAUAAUAUUUUCAUUUUAUAUUUGAAAGAUAAAUGAAUUUUCUUUCAAACAAUAUUUUUGUAAAUGUAUUUUUUAAAAAAUAAUCAAUUAAAAUUGUUAUUAUCAUUGAAUAUCAUUAUUUUUGACAUAAUUUGAGUUUUCGUUUACAUCAAAACUUAUCAUAUUUUAGGAUAAUUUUAAUUUAAAAUGUAAUUUUCAUAUUUUUCAAAAAAAUUCUAAAAAUAUUUUUUAAAUAUUUUGUUAUAAUUGUUAAAAAAAAUAUUGAGUUGCAUUUCAAAUAAAAAGGUAAAGAUAUUUAAAAUAUUCUAAUUAAAAUAUGUAAAAUUUAAUAUAAUUUUAAGAAAAUGGUCAAAAUAAAAAAAAUACACUUAAAAUAAUCAUGAUUUUUGUUAACUAGGCGGAUCAUUAUUUAUAUGAUAUCGCACACGAAAGAAAAAUUUCCUGUUUUUACAAUUAUCUAAUUAACUCUAUAUACUCAUUUUUUUAUAUUUUUUAUAUGAUAUCACACAUUCGUAAAAAAAAUAGAUAGUUUAAGAUGCAAAAAAAAAAUUUACUUAAUGAAUAUAAUAUGAACGAAUAUUACAAAUACAUCAUUUAAUAAAAUAAAUAAUUAAAAACUGAAAAUUCAUACCAGCGCUUCUGGGUCUAGUUUAAUUUAUAAUACAAUGUUUCAUGUGAUACGACCAUUAAUUGUACAUUUUGUUGCAUGUGACAUUCAGUUUAACUGCUGAAAUGAAAAGGUGAGUAACAAAUCAUGCAUUAUGGUAUGUGAUAAGCAUGCAUCUUAAACUAAACAAUCCUGGUAACAUUGCCUUUGAAUAUAAUGUGAUACAUAUCUUAUGAAUAGUCUUUGAGUAAUCCUGAACAUUUUUUUUUGUUGAAGUAAUCCAUGACUUUUAAGAUGCAUCAUAUAUUGUAAGCGCCAUGAUGAACAACUAUCAUAUACUGUAGAUCUUUCUUUUCUUGGUUAUAAUAAUUAAAAUAUCUGAUGAUGGAGCGAAUAAUAAAUUUUGAACAGGUAAGAGUGUCAGGGUUGAUGACAAAUGCACCAUACAUGCUGAACGUAGACUGCGACAUGUACGCGAAUGAAGCAGACGUAGUGCGGCAAGCAAUGUGUAUAUUUAUGGAAGGAUCUAUGAAUCCAAACCAUUGUGCUUUUGUUCAGUUCCCUCAAAAAUUCUAUGAUUCUAACAGCGAUGAAAUCGUCGUCUUACAAUCAGUAAGAUUUCUCGUAUUGAUACUUUUGAUCAAUUAGAUGUGAAUUUUAACUGGAAAGUAGUAUGUGGGACGAGGUUUUGCGGGAAUCCAAGGACCAGUUUAUGCAGGGUCUGGAUGUUUCCUCACUAGAAGGGUCAUGUACGGUCUUUCUGUAGACGAUUUAGAAGAAGAUAGAAAUCUUUCUUCAGUUGCUAUAUAAAUUUAUAAAUCACGUUCUCAUAGAUUUCAAAACGUCAGUAAGAGUAUAAGAGUUUUUUUAAAGAAAAAAUCAUUCACAAUAAAACUAACUUUCAUGAUUAUCUUAAAAUUUUCCGAUUUUUUUCUAAACAGAUUAUCCCUGUUAUAUCGUUCGUUUGACAGACAAUGCAUAUUAUGUUCGUUAUUCGGUUAUUCCACCAUUCUAUCAUUCAUUCACGGCUCAUGCUAUGUUGUUAUUUCACUAAUUAAGGGAAGCUUUUGGCUGCGGAGAGAUUAGAAAGAGAUUUUGGGAAGUCUAAGGAGAUGGUGAAAUCGGUGGUCGAUGCAUUACAAAGAAAAUCAAAUCCCCAAGACACCCUUAUAAACUCUUCAGAAGCGGCUCAAGCUGUGGGGCAUUGUCAUUACGAAUACCAAACUAGCUGGGGCAAAACCGUAAAUCCCUCUUUUUGUCUAUAAAAUAAAUUAGUCUAUAAAAUCAAGCAAUAGUAAGAUUGCGUUCUUAAAUCUUUUUUGGCAAUAUUUACAUUUUCAUAAUUAUUAUUUUGUUACAUAAUCGUCCAGGUCGGCUGGUUAUACGAUUCAACGACGGAAGAUGCACACACGAGUAUUGGGAUUCAUUCAAGAGGGUGGACUAGUUCAUAUAUAUCUCCGGAACCACCGGCGUUUCUUAGAUGCAUGCCGCCGGGAGGACCCGAAGCAAUGCUUCAACAGCGGCGAUGGGCGACGGGUUUGCUUGAAAUCCUUUUUACCAAACAAAAUCCAUUGAACGGAAGUUCUUGCAAGAAAAUCAGAUUCCGACAAAGCUUGGCUUAUCUUUAUAUUUUCACAUGGGGUCUGAGGUCAAUUCCUGAGCUCUUUUAUUGUCUCUUGCCUGCUUAUUGUGUACUCCACGGUUCUGCCUUAUUUCCCAAAGUAAAUCUUUAUCUCUAUAUGUAUGUGUUGCUUUUAAUGAAACUAAUACUAAAUGGUCUUAUAUAUUUUUUUGUGGCUGUAGGGAGUUUGUAUAGGUAUAGUCGUCACACUUGUGGGAAUGCACUGCCUCUACACUUUAUGGGAAUUUACGAGCCUUGGGUUUUCCGUACAUUCAUGGUAUGCCUCCCAAUCGUUUUGGAGAAUUAAAACCACUGGUAGUUGGUUGUUUAGCAUCCCUGAUAUCAUACUUAAGCUUCUUGGAGUUUCCAAUACCAUCUUCAUAGUCACUAAAAAGACCAUUUCUAAGACAAGGUUAGAGUCCGGGGAUAGACCAUCUCAAAAAGAAGAUGAUGGUUCAAACCCAGAUUCCAAUAAAUUUGAAUUCGAUGGUUCACUUUAUUUUUUGCCCGGCACAUUCAUUCUGUUGGUGAAUUUAACCGCUAUAGCCGGUUUUUCAAUGUGUCUACAACGGUCGAGUCGUAGCUAUGGAGGAAGUGGUUCGAGCAUGAUAGAUGCUUGUGGAUGUAUUUUGGUGGUUAUAUUGUUCCUUCCAUUUCUAAUUGGUUUGUUUGAGAAGGGAAAAUAUGGCAUCCCACUUUCUACUCUUUCUAAAGCUGCCUUUUUAGCAGUUUUAUUUGUUGUUUUCUCUGUAAGAAACUAAUAUAUAUAUAUAUAUUUAUUUAUUUGGGGCUGCUAGAAAAAGUGUGCUAAGUUUACCAUGACAAUAAAUGCUAUUUAUGCAAUUAAUCGUUAGUUUCUUAUUACUUGUGUAUAGUAGAAACUCUACAAACUAAUAAUAUUCGAUAAAUGAAUGAACCCGAUAAAUUAAUAAAUUUUGGUACCGAGUUGGGCCGAUUUAAAAUAUAACACAAAUUAAUAAAAUAAUAAUAAUUUUUUAAAAAAACUAUGUACAUAUUUAAUCUCAGAUAAAUCAUAAAUUAUUAUAUAAUAUAAACAAAACAUUAUAUUUUUUAUUAACGAUAAAAUUAUCUCUAUAUUUAUUAAUACUUCAAUAUGCUUUGAUAAUAUUAAGUAAACUAAAAGAUACCUAUUAAAUUCUAUGAAAGAUAUAUUAUAUAACCUAAUAAUAUAAUAAACAAAUAUUAUAGUCGAGUUUUAAAAAUUUAUCAAAUAUAUCUACAGAAAAAUCAACUAUUUGUCUUAUUUUAUAAUAAAGAAUCUCUUGUAAAUUAAUAUAAAUUAAUCCAAUACCAUAGUAACAUUAUUAAUAUAUAGAGUUUUCAAUAUAUAUAUAUGGCUUUUUCAGCUGGAGCCUAAGAGCAAAAUGAUCUCCCAAUCUAACUACAUUAAAAAGUUCUACAAAUUGAUAUUUUUAAAUUAAUAAAUACAAUAAAUUAAUGAUUUUUUUUAUCCCGAAUUGAGUCGAAUUCAAAAUAUAAUAUAAUUUGAUAAGAUAACAAGAUAAUAAAAUUUAAUUUUUAAAUAAAUAAAUAAUUCCAUUAAUAUCAUGAAUUAAUAAUUAUUUUAUUUAAAAUAUAUAUUAAAAAUAAAAGAAAUUACUUAAUUCUAUUAUCUUCAAAGUGAAAUUUAUCUCUAAUGUUUUGUUAUUACUCUAUUACAUUUGAUGUAAUCUGUAUUUAAAAUACAUCUUCAUACUAUAAUGAAUAUCUUAAUACAUAUAAAUAAAUAAUUUAAUAAUGAAGAAAGAUAAAAACCAAACUUAUAAAGCUUAUAACCAAUAUAUAAAAUUUUUAAAACAUACAUUGUGUUACUUUAAAUAAAAAUAAUUAAAAAUAUAUAUCAAAGAAAUUUUUAGCUGAUAACUUACAAAUUAAUAAACUACCACUGGUACAACAGUAUUAAAUUAUAUAAAGUAAACAAACACAAAGGUACCAGAAUCCUAAUAUUACUAAUUUAUAUUUUUACAGUAAUGUGAAACCAUUUAAAGCGCUGAACUAAAAAUUUAAAAAAUUAUUAUGACAAACAUCUAGAUACAUAGAAUUUAAAAUAUACUCCCUCCUUUUCGUUUAAAUUAUCGUUUUAAAUAUGUGCAAACACAUUAAGAAAAUAUUAAAUUUUAUGUAUUUUCUAAAUAAAAACAUCAUUACUUAUAAAUCUAAUCACAUUUCAAUCAAUAUAAAAAUACACUAGAGAUAAAAAAAAUAUUAUAUAGCUUUCAAAUACACUAAAAUUAAAAUAUUAAAACACUGCUUAUCAAAUGUUAAAACAUAUUGAUUUAGUAAAUUAGAUUUUGUAAAAAAGAAAUUUACGCUUUUAAAGCGUAGGAUAAAAUCUAAUUUUAAUUAAAUUACGAUCAGAUCAAUCAUAUUUUAAUUGAUAAACGUGAUAUUUAAACGAUCAUUGACAUCUAUAUCAAUUUUUGGAUGAAUGAAAUGAAACCCAUGAUGUUAACUACAUAACAUCAUUAAGUUUAGGAUGUGAAUAACAUAUACUUUAUGUAGCUAAAUAUAUUGUAUGAUUAGUCAUAUGAUGGUCAAUCUUCUCUAUUAAAAGAGAAGUACUAUUUUAAUCUACCAUAAAAAUUCAUAAUAGGUCAAUUUCAUCAAUUACAUAAUAUGACAUAAUAAUCAAUAAGAAUAUUAAUAGUAAAUCAAUUUUAACUAUAAAUUUGAAUUUUAUUUAUAAAAAAAUCUGUUGAGAAAAAUAUAACAAAAUUCUACUAAAUUUUUUGAAUAUUUUUAAUUAAAUAAUGCAUUAAUUAAUUUUGUAAUUAAUAAUAUAAUAUUAAUUAAUAUUAAUUAAAUUUUAUUAUAAAACAAAUAAUUCUAUGCUAUUUUCUUAUAAAUUUAUAAUUAUAGUUUGUAUUAUAUUAAAUAGAAGUAUUAUAAAAAUAAAAUAUGACAAAAUUAUAUUAAAUUGGUAAAUUAACCUAUUUAAUUUUUUAAAUGCUUCAUUUGAAUAAAUUAUCAUUUACUAUUAAACGGGUUAAAAUUUGCUAACUACGUAAUAUUUUUAUACCAAAAUAAAGUUUAUUAACAUAUGUUGAAAUUUUAUUUCUACAGCUAUAUAUUUUCAAAAUCAUAUGUUGAAGAAGAUUCUUAAUUUGAUUAUAUCAAAUUAUAUAUUAAUUGUACUAGACUCAAAAAUGUAAUAACAAUUAAUAAAAGAAGUAAAAUAUAUAAAAAAAUCACUAUUUAUUAAGAAGGCAAUAAAUAACAUAAACAAUAAGAUUUAAUAGUUAUACAAUACAUAACACUAAAAUAUAAAUCAUAUAUUCAAAAACAUUAUGAUAAUAUCAAAGUUUAUAAAAUGAAAAAAAUAUCCAUACAUUGUGCAGGUUAAACUCUAGUAUACUUUAUAACACAAAUAGACAUUUUACGUGUUUUUAUUACAUGAAAAAGCAGAUUGUGCUACUGACACAUUUUUUGUUGGUUGAAGACUUCUUUGUCCUUUCAAAAACAAAACCAGAUGUGGGCAUUUGAGUAAAAGACCAUAUUGUUAUGGUUAAUUUAGUUAGUGGGUUUGAAUUUCGAAAAUGACAGGUUAUGAUUGGUGCACGCUUGAAGAAAUGUGAUUUGUUUAAUAAAAUGAUUUUGUGCCUAUAAAAAAAUAAUAUUUGUUCCCAUUUCCGUUUCUCACUCCUAAACCUAAUUUUUCAAUUUCUUUCAUUCUUCCUGGGCAAGAACACGAGGAGAAACACGACGGAGAUAAUGACUGCCCACAGAAACUAAAGCGGUGGAUCUAGGAUAAAUCGACAAUAACGGCGAGGCGGAAGCGACCAUGGAAAACGAAAGCCGACGGUUAGUGUUUCAUUAAUGAAUCUCAGUGACUUUGGUUCUUGGUAUUUUUAGAGAUUUACUUCCUUCUGUGACAUUUACUUCCUAGUGUUUUGUACUGUAAUUCAUUGUUGUGCGAUGUUAUUUUCAGCAUGGUGGAUCCAGGAGAGAUGUUGAGCAUAUAGCAUAUUUGAAGUCGUCCAAGUAUGUUAGGGAUCUCGUGGAGCAUGUUGUGUGUGGAGACUAUAGAAUGGGGCAUGUUGGCUGUGGAGACUAAAUCCAUGUGUACACCAUUGUAACGAUAUCCUUGUGUACACUAUUGAAACAAUAUCCAUGUGUACACCAAUAUAAUGAUAUUUACAUGUACACAAAAAUGUAAACCUUCCAACAUAUAGCAGUACUGACUACUCCAUUGCAAAUCUAUUUAUUAUUUUUUAUUUGAAUACCUUCUACAUUGAGAACCAUUUAAAACAAUAUUAUAAACUGGAUCACAUAUUUCAUUGACGGGGUGGAUGAAUAUUGUUUAAAUCAAUCAUCUAUAUAGUGAGUGAAAUAAGUGUACACAAGAUCAUGUGUACAUAUGGACAUUAGAUAGAGUGUGUACAUAUGGACAAUAGAGAGAGUGUGUAUAUAUGUACACAAGACGAAGUGGGGGAUGAGACGAAGUGAGAAUUUGGUGGGCUAAUGUAUGCAUGUUAGGUGUAAACCUAAUCGAAUUGUGUAAAUAUGAUAAUUGAAUUGUGUAAAUAUUGUAUGCUUGUUGCAAAAAUGAUAUAUGCUUGUUGCAAAAUGUGGAAGUUGGUGGGUUAAUGUAUGCUUGUUGCAAAAUGAUAAUCGAAUUGUGUAAAUAUGAUGUUUAUUUGGCUAAAACAUGUGUAUAUUGCUGUUUUGUGUACAUGCGUACAAUAGCGCAUAGUUGUCCGCGUGGACAGCUAGUAGCAUUAUAGAGCAAAAUGUACUGGCCACUGAUUUUGGGAAUUAAAAUUCGUGGAAAAGUGUAUAGGUGGAUUAAAAUCCUUGUGUGCUAUGUUUGACUUGUAUUGGUUCUUGAAUUUAUACGACUUGUCAGGUGGAUUCAAAUCCGUGUGCGCUAUGUUUGACACGCUAACGUGUACACGCGUACAAAGAAGCAAAAAUGUACAUGUUACUCUUUUGGGAAACUCAAAUCCGUAGUAAAGUGUAAAUCUGUGGCUACUGAUUUUGGUUUUUGAAUGUAUACGACUUGUAGGUGAAACAUGAUUGAAGUGUGGUUGUGCAUGCUAUGUAUGUCAUGGUAAUGUGUACAUGCGUACAAAGAAGCAUGAUUGUACACAUGGACAACCUGAGAUUCGUUUACACAGUGUACACUGUCGGAUUGUACACAUACUAUUUUGAUUGUACAAUAUCAAUCAAUGUUAGUGCUGAAAAGACCACAUUUGAUAUAAGCUUGAAUUCACAAGAUUUAUAACACAAGAUACUUUGAGACUUAAAGAUUGAUUCAACAAACUAUCCUAACUCGCAAAACAGAACUCUCAAAGACAAUACAUUGAAAACAAAAGCUUUUUGAUUGAUGAUUGGAAGAUUAAUGAGAAAUACAAAGUUCUUAGCUUUUAUAGGCUAUUAGAACUGUCAUCUAAUAGUCUAGAUUGACAAAACAGAGGAAAUGAUUAUUUAGAAGUAAAGAAUCAUCUCAGGUGGAUGUGCUUUCCGGGAGGGGUCUUGGCUGGUAGUUUCAGCUACUUGGGCCCUGCAUAGGAUGUCUUCAUAAACAUUGGACGGUAAGCUCUUUUGUGCCAUCCAGUCACGCUCUAACAUCUCUCUUAUGCGAGCCACUACAUCAACAUAGUAACACAUAUCAAAAACUCCAUUGAAGCAGUCAAUUUGGAGCUAAAGGUACAAACUUUGAGAUUAAAAGGAAGUGCCUUGAGCAUGGUAUUCAUAACCCUUUCCACGGAAGUUGUUGGCGAUGAUGGUUGUAGCAUGAGACUUGGUUUGAGAAUGGGUGGUGAGGUUGAAUAGAUGAGUGAUUCUUCGAUGAGUGUAAUAGAAAUUGGAACUUUUUGCCAGCGGGUUCGAACUGUGUAGUGAGCCAAGUUUUCAAUUAUGAGAUUUGGAAGAUGCAAUCUGAAGAAAAAAAAAGUAAACAAGAACAAGAGAGAUGAUGAUUUUGCUUAAUAAUUUUGGUCGUAGAUGAUGAAAGAACAUGAAUUAAUCUAAUGGCUAUGAAUAUUGGUAGAUAUAAGUCUAAUCAAGAUCUGGGAAAAUAAAUCUUGACCGUCGAAAUUGGAGACAUAUCAAUGAUUGUGGUGAAAGUCCGCCACUUAUCUAUUUUAUAAGGGAACUAGACUUUUAUGAUUGAACUAACAGAUAACUGAUUUAGUUAAGAAUGAAGAGAAUAGUUAUAGAAAGUGUGUGUAGAAGAAUGUAACUUAUAGUGUAAUAAAUAAGAUAAAAUGUGUCCGAGAGUGAAAAUAUUUUCUAUACUUUAGGUAGCUAGAAAAUAAUGAAAAACCAUUACGUGAUUUUUUUCUCCUUUUUUUUGCGACGACCACUCAUCCAUGACUUUAGCCUUAUCACACUACACGCAAGAGAAAACGGAGUAAAAAGACACAGUAGUCCAUUUUUGUUUAAUCGUGGCUACAAUUUCUCUUGUCACUCGUUUUUUGUUAACAAAAAAUCUACUCAAUAUCUUCUCACCAGUCCUUUUUUUAUUAUAAUAUAUAUGUAUACUCCGUUUCAUAACACUAUACACAUUAUGAGUACAAGCUUUGGUAGACGUAAAACUAUUUAGAAAGCUCACAAGAAAGCUCCUCCCAUGGCGGAUUCUAGCUCUUCGCUCCCUUCUCUUUUCGAAAAGAUCUCAUACAAAAGAUAUUUUCUGAGAGCUGUUGAUCUCACGAUGCUCGGGCUUCUCUUUUCUCUUCUCUUGUACCGGAUUCUACAUAUGAGCCAAAACGACAACGUUUGGGUCGUAGCUUUCUUGUGUGAAUCUUUUUUCACUUUCAUAUGGCUGCUUAUUACUUGCAUAAAAUGGACCCCUGCUGAGCAUAAACCGUAUCCGGAUCGACUUGAUGAAAGGUAUCAUAGUAUAUAUAUGCACACAAAAAGCAUAUAUGCUUAUCAAUUUUUGUAUAAAGAUCUAGGCCUCUAGGUAGCUGCUACCAUGUUCUAAUUAAGUCUAUUUUUAUGAACUAACUAUUGAUUUCAGGGUUCAUGAGCUUCCAUCGGUAGAUAUGUUUGUAACCACGGCGGAUCCGGUUCGGGAGCCGCCGCUUCUUGUUGUGAACACUGUGCUUUCACUGCUAGCUGUGAAUUAUCCGGCGAAUAAAUUAGCAUGUUAUGUUUCAGACGAUGGAUGCUCACCUCUCACUUACUUCUCUCUCAAGGAAGCUUCUAACUUCGCCAAGAUUUGGGUUCCUUUCUGCAAAAAAUAUAACGUUAGAGUUAGAGCUCCUUUUAGAUAUUUCUUGAACUCUCUCGACGCAAAAGAGGAUUCAGAAUUCAGUAGGGAUUGGGAAAUGACGAAGGUCAGUAUUUGAUUAUAUUUUUAGGUCUAUGAGUUUGUUUCUACGUUUACAACAAANNNNNNNNNNNNNNNNNNNNNNNNNNNNNNNNNNNNNNNNNNNNNNNNNNNNNNNNNNNNNNNNNNNNNNNNNNNNNNNNNNNNNNNNNNNNNNNNNNNNNNNNNNNNNNNNNNNNNNNNNNNNNNNNNNNNNNNNNNNNNNNNNNNNNNNNNNNNNNNNNNNNNNNNNNNNNNNNNNNNNNNNNNNNNNNNNNNNNNNNNNNNNNNNNNNNNNNNNNNNNNNNNNNNNNNNNNNNNNNNNNNNNNNNNNNNNNNNNNNNNNNNNNNNNNNNNNNNNNNNNNNNNNNNNNNNNNNNNNNNNNNNNNNNNNNNNNNNNNNNNNNNNNNNNNNNNNNNNNNNNNNNNNNNNNNNNNNNNNNNNNNNNNNNNNNNNNNNNNNNNNNNNNNNNNNNNNNNNNNNNNNNNNNNNNNNNNNNNNNNNNNNNNNNNNNNNNNNNNNNNNNNNNNNNNNNNNNNNNNNNNNNNNNNNNNNNNNNNNNNNNNNNNNNNNNNNNNNNNNNNNNNNNNNNNNNNNNNNNNNNNNNNNNNNNNNNNNNNNNNNNNNNNNNNNNNNNNNNNNNNNNNNNNNNNNNNNNNNNNNNNNNNNNNNNNNNNNNNNNNNNNNNNNNNNNNNNNNNNNNNNNNNNNNNNNNNNNNNNNNNNNNNNNNNNNNNNNNNNNNNNNNNNNNNNNNNNNNNNNNNNNNNNNNNNNNNNNNNNNNNNNNNNNNNNNNNNNNNNNNNNNNNNNNNNNNNNNNNNNNNNNNNNNNNNNNNNNNNNNNNNNNNNNNNNNNNNNNNNNNNNNNNNNNNNNNNNNNNNNNNNNNNNNNNNNNNNNNNNNNNNNNNNNNNNNNNNNNNNNNNNNNNNNNNNNNNNNNNNNNNNNNNNNNNNNNNNNNNNNNNNNNNNNNNNNNNNNNNNNNNNNNNNNNNNNNNNNNNNNNNNNNNNNNNNNNNNNNNNNNNNNNNNNNNNNNNNNNNNNNNNNNNNNNNNNNNNNNNNNNNNNNNNNNNNNNNNNNNNNNNNNNNNNNNNNNNNNNNNNNNNNNNNNNNNNNNNNNNNNNNNNNNNNNNNNNNNNNNNNNNNNNNNNNNNNNNNNNNNNNNNNNNNNNNNNNNNNNNNNNNNNNNNNNNNNNNNNNNNNNNNNNNNNNNNNNNNNNNNNNNNNNNNNNNNNNNNNNNNNNNNNNNNNNNNNNNNNNNNNNNNNNNNNNNNNNNNNNNNNNNNNNNNNNNNNNNNNNNNNNNNNNNNNNNNNNNNNNNNNNNNNNNNNNNNNNNNNNNNNNNNNNNNNNNNNNNNNNNNNNNNNNNNNNNNNNNNNNNNNNNNNNNNNNNNNNNNNNNNNNNNNNNNNNNNNNNNNNNNNNNNNNNNNNNNNNNNNNNNNNNNNNNNNNNNNNNNNNNNNNNNNNNNNNNNNNNNNNNNNNNNNNNNNNNNNNNNNNNNNNNNNNNNNNNNNNNNNNNNNNNNNNNNNNNNNNNNNNNNNNNNNNNNNNNNNNNNNNNNNNNNNNNNNNNNNNNNNNNNNNNNNNNNNAUCCGAGAUCCGGAUUCGAUCCAAGAUUCGAUCCGGAUCCAAUCCGAAAAUUCGGAUAUCCGGAGGUACCGAAUCCGGAUAGUAAAAUGUUGGAUCCGUCAAAGCCGGAUCCGGAUCCGGAUAUCUUGAUAUUUUAGUCCGGAUAUCCGGAUCCAUAAGUUUUAUUAAUAACUAUUUUAAAAAUAGUAAUAUCUAUAUAUAAAAACUAAUUUUAUUUAAUAUAUUUUUAUUUUUAUAAUAGUAUAUAUUAAUUUUAUGUAAAUUUUGUAAUAUUAUACAUAGAAAUAAUUAAAAACAUUAUAUAUAUAUAUUUAAAUUAUUGUUAAUAUUUUAUAUAUAUAUUAAUAUUAUUUUUUAUUUAUAUUAAGGAUCCAAAUCCGGAUUCAGAUAUCCGCCGGAUAUUACAAUUUUAACAAAGAUAUCCGACACCCGGAUAUCCGAGAACCCCGGAUCCGGAUAAGGAUAGUAAAAUUAUGGAUCCGCUGGAUAAUGAUCCGGAUCCGGAUACCUUAAAAUUGCCCGGAUAUCCGAUCCGUCUCAGGUCUAGCUCAAACCAAUGGCACGGUUUUUUAUGAAUUUUUUUUGUCUGAAAAAAAAAUUUAAAAACGAAUCAAUCGCAGACCGCCACGUGCGAGUGGAGCCCGUGAACAGUGCAAGAAACACUCCAAAAUCGAUUCUUAUUCAUAACUUAUGUGACCGAUUCUUAUGGUUUUUGUGGAGUCCACGCAAUAAAUUUUUUUUGGAACCUCACUAAGGUUCCCAAGUGGCCUAAGAGCAUAAUUAUCCCUUGAUCCUUAAAGGGGGUUUUUAGUGAUUAUUUAAUAUUUUAACUCUAGUUAAGUGGGGUUAAGAAUUGUCGUUAAGAAACUCUCAUUUUAAGCGAUCCAAUGGGAGUUUCUUAAUUAGGGGUUCUUAAAUUUUUUUUUAAAAGAUAAAAUUUAUUUAUUAAACAAACAUAUUAAAAGAUAACAUUUAAAACAUAGAUUUAAAAAUAAACAUAAAAAUAAAGAGUAGUACAUUAAUCAAGAAUAUUUUGAAAGAAACAUUUCAAACUCAGUUGUUGUCUCCACCACGUCCAAAUUUACUCCACAAAUGUUCAACCAAAUCAGCUUUGAGCUGUUGAUGCAUUUGUCUAUCACGAAUUCUAGUUCGAACACCCAUCAUAUUGGCGAUAUUUGAAGGUAUAUCUGUAGAAUACGUGAGAUCGACAUGUGAAGUUCCGGUGUCUUCUCCUGGUUGGAACUCUGACACAUCAAAAUGAGUGUAUCCAUCUCGUUAGUCUUCUACUAUCAUAUUAUGGAGUAUGAUACAUGCUCUCAUAAUCCUCCCAAUUUUGGCUUUAUCCCAAAAAAGUGCUGGAUUUUUAACAAUGGCAAAACGAGCUUGCAAGACUCCAAAAGCACGCUCGACAUCUUUUCGGACAGCUUCUUGAUGUUGAGCAAAUAAAGUCGCUUUCGGACCUUGUGGUAUUGGAAUAGAUUGGAUAAAAGUUGCCCAUUUCGGAUAAAUACCAUCAGUGAGAUAGUAAGCCAAAUGAUACUCUCUUCCAUUGACAAAGUAAGUAACUUGCGGAGCUUGACCUUUUAUAAUGUCAUCAAAAACAGGUGAGCGAUCAAGAACGUUGAUAUCAUUUAAGGUACCUGGAGGUCCAAAAAACGCAUGCCAUAUCCAAAGAUCAUACGAAGCGACCGCCUCUAAAACGAUUGUGGGUUUUCCCGAACCACGUGAAUAUUGCCCUUUCCAAGCGGUGGGACAAUUCUUCCACUCCCAAUGCAUACAAUCGAUACUUCCUAUCAUCCCGGGAAAUCCACGUUGCUCACCAAUAUAAAGUAGACGUUGAAGAUCAGCCGGUGUUGGUCUUCUUAGAUACUCAUCGCCGAAUAAAUUUAUUACUCCUUCUACAAAAUGUUCCACACAUGCAAGAGUGGUAGUUUCACCGAGGCGGAGGUAUUCGUCAACAGCAUCAGCCGCAGAACCAUAGGCCAAGACACGAAUGGCGGCUGUACACUUUUGAAGUGCAGAGAGACCAAGCCUUCCGAGAGCAUCUUUCUUUUGUCGAAAGUAUUCAACUUCAUUGGAGAGUCGAUGAACAAUACGAAUGAACAAUGACUUGUUCAUUCUAAAUCGUCGUCGGAAGAGUUUUUUAGGAUAUGUCGGAGUUUCACUGAAAUAAUCAUUCUAUAAACGUAUAUCGCCUUCUUCACGAUUCCGUUCGAUAUGGACUCGUUGUUUUAUUUUUUUUCUUUCGCCUUCUCGAUCACACUCAAUGGAUAAAUUUUGAAGAGUGGUAUUCGUCAACAGCAUCAGCCGCAGAACCAUAGGCCAAGACACGAAUGGCGGCUGUACACUUUUGAAGUGCAGAGAGACCAAGCCUUCCGAGAGCAUCUUUCUUUUGUCGAAAGUAUUCAACUUCAUUGGAGAGUCGAUGAACAAUACGAAUGAACAAUGACUUGUUCAUUCUAAAUCGUCGUCGGAAGAGUUUUUUAGGAUAUGUCGGAGUUUCACUGAAAUAAUCAUUCUAUAAACGUAUAUCGCCUUCUUCACGAUUCCGUUCGAUAUGGACUCGUUGUUUUAUUUUUUUUCUUUCGCCUUCUCGAUCACACUCAAUGGAUAAAUUUUGAAGAGUUUGAUCGAAAUAUUGAUCAAACGUUUCAUCAUCAACCCCCUCUCCCUCUCCCUCAAAAGUGUGAUGAGAUGACGAAGCCAUAUUUGUGAUCAAGAUAUGGAAAGUUUUUAAGAAAAUUUAAGUUUCAAGGAGAGACUGAAAUUUAUUUAAAUUUUGGAGAGAAAGGAAAGUAAAGAAUGAAACUUUGGGAGAGAAGGAGAAGAAGCAACAAUUUAUUCUUUGGUAGUUGGUGAGAGGAAGAGAAGAAUAAUUUCUCAUUCAAAUGCUUGGUGAAUGAACCGUUUAUAUAACCAAAGACGUAUCAUAUUACACUCGUGACUAUAGGAAAACAACAAACUAGAAACAGCAAGCCCACAUACACACAGCUCGUGACACAAACAAACAAACUUCUCUUCAUAUCUCUGCAUGCUCUUGUGACCGAACGUGACACAAACAAACAAACCUCUCGUGACUAAACGUCCAUCUUGUGUCUACUUCCAGACAUCUCAUGACACUCUCUUCAUAUCUCUGCACAAAGAAACAGAACACACAAUUAUUAAAACGUGAAACACAUCGUAUUGAGCACAAACAUAACACAUUGAACAAGAAACAGAACAUUGAGCAUUAACAUAACAUCAUAUAUCACAUACAACAGAAACAUUUAUAACAUUGAAACAUAAAGACAUACAACCCAUAACAUGAAACAUAACAUGAUUUUAUUACUACAAACAGAACACAUAACAUGAAACCGACAUCCAAGUUUGUUACAUUCACUAAUUACCCAACAUCUCACUAAUUAGCUUAUUCUUUAGCUCGUCCUCGUACUCAGAAAGUGGCUCUUUCUUGCAUAUGAGACUCUCAAGCAACCCCAUCUUCUUAAGUCUCUCUUUCGCAGCCAUGUCUUUCUCUUUAACAGUCCACAUCGUCUGAAACUCAGACGCAGCCUGGUCAACUGCAAUGCUUCUCUUACCAGAGGCUGCUUUCGCCGCCUUAACACCAGGAGGGCGUUUGGUGGGUUGAUCACCGAGAGCAGACGUUGCUUGAGAGCUCUCUGAUUGAGCUCCAUCAUCAAACUUUCUCUUCUUGCUGGUUCCAUCAAUCUUCCUACUAGCAACUUCACACCAUUUUUGGUCAUUCCUCAGCUCCUCCCAAGCAUGGUGGAGGUUAAAUUUGAUCUUGUGAUCGUUGUAGAAGAUCUCGUGUGCCAGUUUCACAGUGUCAGCCUCAUUCUGACCACUUGUCUUCUGUCUAGUUGCAGCCGCAUAGGAUCCACAAAACUUACAGACUAGAUCGUUCAUCUUCUGCCAUCGUUGCUUACAUUGAAUAGCCUCACGCUUUGCACCUCUUUCCACCGUUGGACUGGCUGCGAAGUAAGCCGCAAUGCGGCUCCAAAACGCCCCUGCUUUCUGCUCAUUGCCCACCACCGGGUCCUUGCUGGUGUUUAACCAGGCGCUAAUGAGCACAAGGUCGUCUGUGACUGUCCACUUCUUCCUUUCUCUACGCUCUGUAGUUGAGUCUUCACAGAAGCUUGCCGUUUCAGGGAGAUGUGAUGAUUCGACAUGUUGAAAACUCGCAUAAGGACAGGGUUCAGGAACGACACUCUCUUGUUGGCUGUUCAACAGGUCAACAAAAUUGGCUGACAUAGGAUAUGGAUUCGUGGAAUUCAUAUCCUAAAAUAUCAGAGAGUAGAGAAGAGAAUAAGAAUAUGUAGUUAGAUACGGGUCUUGUAGAGAGGACAGAUUGAAAGACAUAUCAAAGGGAAGAAGAAUAUCGUGUAUGAAGAUUAAAAGAAAGAGAGAAAGCAGGAGGAUUAAUAGAGAAGAGAAGAAGAAUAUGUAGUUAGAUACGAGUCUUGUAAUUGUAUUUACUCUUUCACUUAAUUUGAGUUGAGAUGAGUGGACAAGUACCUAAACAUAUUUAUUACUACCACACAUUCCUAGAGUUACAAUCAAACAAGCAGUUUAUCCAACCAUUCAGCACAAUCAUUCAUCGCAAGCAUUCAUACUAACAACAACCUAACUCUUACACACAUUUAUUAACCUAACUGCUAUCCAAUUUGUGCAAUUAAGAAAAAGUAAUUACAAGAAGUUUUGUGGGAAGUUACCUCAACGCCAGUUGGAAGUAGUAGUUGCUUCACCGACAGGGGUAGGAGCUUCAGGCGCGAGCUGAAAGACUGUGAUCUUCCUAUCUCCAAACUAUUCUCGAAAACAGGGGAGGCGGAGCUUCGGUCCCUGCCAUAAUUAACAACACAGUCAACACUGGUCUUUACUUAGACGCAAAACAUCAAUUAAAACAUAACAAUCUCAUCUGCCAUUUCGAGAAGUGAUGUUACAACGUGUGAUGUUACAACGUAAGCUCUUUAGCCAUCAACAGAAACUGUAAUGAAUCUUACUCGAGUCGACUCUAAUCGUAAUAAAACAAUCAUACAAAACUCACUAAACAUGCAACUCACAAAACGAUCAGACAAACCCACCAAGAAGCCUACCAAAUUUCGAUGAAAGACCAAAGCUUUACAAUGACCACAAACCUAAAAACCGUAAUUGUCUAUAGUCCAAGAUACCUAAUCGCUCUACGCGCUCAAAUCAUACAGAAUCAGAGAUGCAUGGAAUAAGAAUCGACGAUGGAUGGGGCUUACCUUCAUGAACUUCUUCACCACCGCAGCGUUCACCAGACACCUGAGAGACUCUCCAAUCCGGAGGAGACGCCGUAAGGACCGACAGAAUCGUCGUCGACAGUGGGUUUGGAUCUGUCUUCUGACGGAGAAGAAGAGAGAGACGCCGUGAGGACCGAGACUCUGGUCGUACGCGGCGGUUUCGAUCGAUCUUCCGACGGAGCAGACGACAGAAGCCGGGGGAACAUGCCGUGAGGAGAGUCGUCGUCGCCAUCGCCUUUUGGAGACGGAGAAAACGAGACGAAAGAGAGAAAUGAGAAGAAAGAAAAAAAAAAUAAAUAAAAGGGGACGCUUUGAAGGCGACGCGUGUUUCCAAACCCAUUUUUAAAAACGGUUCCGAAAAUCCCAAAAUAAGGAUCCAUUAUCUCCUCCUUUAUUUUGUUUCCAUUUAAUUAAUUCAUGCAUUUACUUUAAAAAUUCACUAAGAGUCACCGAUAAUUAUGGUCUAAGAAAUACUCGGUAUAUCACACUGUCAUAUAUUUCGUUAAAAUAUUAUUUUAACAAAGUUUCAUGCAUAUAUCACUAUUAUAUUCACCUUUUUAUUCUAUCAUACAAUAUUUGCGCAAUAGUUUUGUUGUUCUACUAGUCUAUUAUAAUCGUGGAAAAUUAGGUCUACUAACCAAAAAAACACAAAUUCAACUACCCAAAAACUACCCCCUCUCUUCUGCUCUCUCUCUUCUAUCUUUCCUUACCUCUCUUUACAAAUCUAAUUUUCUUUUUUUUGGUUAUUUGGCAAAUAAGCCCUAUAAAUUAUUCAUUUAUCAAAUUAUACGGCUCAUCUUAUUUCAUCAAGGGAAAUUUUUGGAUGAAGAAAGUUUGGCGAGAAAAUUUGGGAGUUCAAAGGAGAUAAGGAAAUCGGUGGCCAAUGCAUUGCAAAGAAAAUCAAAUUCUCAAAAUAUUCUUACAAACUUUCUUGACGAGGCCAGAGAAGUAGGGCAGUGUCAAUACGAGUCCCAAACGAGUUGGGGGAAAACCGUAACACUCUUCUCACUUUAAUCAUAAUAGUCUAUAAUAAAACACAAAUAUUUAUAUUGUUUGUUAUAUUAUAUAUAUCAUGUAGAUCGGGUGGUUGUACGAUUCAACAGCGGAAGAUGUGAACACGAGUAUAGAUAUCCAUUCGAGAGGAUGGACUAGUUCAUAUAUAUAUCCGGUUCAACCCGCAUUUCUAGGUUGUAUGCCACCAGGAGGACCAGAGGCCAUGGUUCAGCAACGGCGAUGGGGGACGGGCAUGCUCGAAGUCCUUUUCAACAAACAUAGCCCCUUGAUUGGUAUCUUUAGUCAAAAAUUGAGAUUUCGACAACGAUUGGCUUAUAUUCACAUCUUCACUUGGGGUUUAAGGUCAAUCCCUGAGCUCGCUUAUUGUCUCUUGCCAGCUUUUUGUCUACUCCACAACUCGGCAUUGUUUCCAAAGGUGAGUAGGUGACUUUCUCUCUCUCACUUUAAUAUAUGUUUCAUCCGUUUGUUGUUUAAAGUUUUUGCAGACAAAUAUUUUUUUAAAAAUUCUUAUUUGAAACGGCAUUUAAUAUGAAACUAUGGAAGGUAUCAUAAUAUCGUUAUUAAUAUGGUUCUAUUUAUAUCAUAAAUAAUUAGAAAUACCUUGUUUUGUGUGGCUUUAGGGACUUUGUUCAGGCAUAAGUGUCACACUUGUGGGGAUGCAUUGCCUUUACACUCUAUGGGAAUUUGUGAGCCUUGGUUUUUCGGUACAUUCAUGGUAUACCUCCCAGUCAUUUUGGAGGAUAAAAGCUACUUGUAUUUGGUUAUUUAGUAUCACUGAUAUCAUAUUCAAGCUUCUUGGAGUUUCGAAAACCGUGUUCAUUGUUACAAAAAAGACUUUCAACGAGACAAGGUCAGGGACUGGGGAUGGACCAUCUUGUAGUGCGGACCCAAAUGCUGGUAAAUUUGAAUUUGACGACUCAGUUUAUUUUUUGCCUGGCACGUUCAUUGUGUUGGUCAAUCUAGCCGCUAUAGCCGGGUUUUUAGUGGGUCUACAACCAGUAAGUCAUAUCUACGGAGGAGGUGGUUCGACUUUUGUAGAGGCUUGUGCAUGUAUUUUGGUGGUUAUGUUGUUUCUUCCAUUUCUAAAGGGUUUAUUUGAGAAGGGAAAAUAUGGUAUUCCAUUGUCUACGCUCUCUAAAGCUGCAUUUUUAGCAGUGUUAUUUGUUGUAUUUUCUGUAGGAAAGUAGUUUAUAUAGCGAUGUGGGUUUUUUAUGCAACAAAACUAAGUUUAUCAUGACAUUGUACCAAUGAAUAAUUAAUGAUAUUUUAUGAAAUUAGUUUUUAUUUAUUAAAGUCAUAAAAUAAUAGUUCCACCAAAUUGAAGAAAAAGGGUUCCUUGACGUGACCAUGCGCAUGCUUGAGAUGAAUUUGAACCACCACGCUAGCACUGGCGCAUUUCAAUGACUUUUUUUUUUUUUUGGUAAAAAUGUUAAGAGCAUUUCAAUGACUUAGCGGUAAAGACCUCGGAAUUGAUCAGUACACCAGUUUUCAUUAUUUAUAAGUUUAUUAUUAUUUUUGCAGUGCUAACUAUGUAAGCGUACAUAAUACAUUAUCACAUUACGGAACGUUAACAUCUCCAAACCAUCUACGUUUUCUUAGAAGUCAAACACCUCACGUGCCAUUUUCGCCUCGGACAUGAAGAUAUAUACAUAAGUAUUUGGCUAAAUAUUAUAAUACUAAUAUUAGAUUCAUGUUCCUGAAUUUCAUAUCAAUGAUAUAAUAUUCUCAUACGCAAAAACAAAUCAUCUCACAUAGCUUGAUUUUGUUUUAUGUUAAUAUACGUCAUUUAUUGCUUAAUUACGGUCCACGUAUAAAAUAAUCAUGUUGAUGACCAUAAUACACUACUUUGACAGGACAAUAGUAGCAUUAAUUAAUAGUAGUAUAUAUAGACGUGACGUAGGUAACUAUUCGGAACAUAUACGCAAAAAAAAAAAACUUGACAAAGCUUCUUCUCCCAUGGCGGAUUCAAGCUCUUCACUUCCUCCUCUUUGCGAAAGGAUCUCACGAUUCUCGGACUUCCCUUUUCUCCUCUCUUGUACCGGAUUCAACGUAUGAACCAAAACGACUUAAAAAUAAUUAUUUAUUCAAAAAAUAUUAAAGAAUGGCUAUGUUUUUAAAAAUUAUAUGGUAUUAUUUGCUCAUAACUCAUUUGUCAUUUGAUAAAUUGUUAGAAAGAAAAUUACAUAAUAUAAUUAAACUUCCUAUUUUAUUGUUUGUCUUUUUCAGUUACAUUAAUGAAAUAUCCUUAAAUAAAUUUGGACAUAAUGUCUUUUGAUCAACCAAAAAAAUGAGUUAUCCUUACGUGCAUAAUUUUAAUAAUAGAGAUUUUUAAAAACAUGCAUCAUUAAAAUGUUACCUAAAACAUGCAGCACUAAUAUAUAACAUGCAUCAAUAAAACUAGAAUUUGACUCACACAAUUGUACGGAUAUUAUUUUCAGUUGAUUAAAUUUAAAAAUAAUUAUUUAUUCAAAAAAUAUUUAAGAAUGACUAUGUUUUUAAAAAUUAUAUGGUAUUAUUUGCUCAUAACUCAUUUGUCAUUUGAUAAAUUGUUAGAAAGAAAAUUUUAGCAUAAUAUAACUCAGUUGUCAUUUGCUAAAUUUAUGGUUUUUAUUUAUAUUUUUUAUUAUUUAAUUAUAAUAUUUUCAUUUUAUAUUUGAAAGAUAAAUGAAUUUUCUUUCAAACAAUAUUUUUGUAAAUGUAUUUUUUAAAAAAUAAUCAAUUAAAUUGUUAUUAUCAUUGAAUAUCAUUAUUUUUGACAUAAUUUGAGUUUUCGUUUACAUCAAAACUUAUCAUAUUUUAAGAUAAUUUUAAUUUAAAAUGUAAUUUUCAUAUUUUUCAAACAAAUUCUAAUUUUUUUUUUUAAAUAUUUUGUUAUAAUUGUUAAAACAAUAUUGAGUUGCAUUUCAAAUAAAAAGGUAAAGAUAUUAAAAAUAUUCUAGUUAAAAUAUGUAAAAUUUAAUAUAGUUAUAAGGAAAUGGUCAAAAUAAAAAAAAUUACACAUAAAAUAAUCAUGAUUUUUGUUAACUGGGCGGAUCAUUAUUUAUAUGAUAUCGCACACGAAAGAAAAAUUUCUGUUUUUAAAAUUAUCUAAUUAACUCUAUACUCAUUUUUUUAUAUUUUUUAUAUGAUAUCACACAUUCGUAAAAAAAUCGAUAGUUUAAGAUGCAAAAAAAAAAUAUUUACUUCAUGAAUAUAAUAUGAAUGAAUAUUACAAAUACAUCAUUUGAUAAAAUAAAUAAUUAAAAACUGAAAAUUCAUUAGGGUCUAGUAUACAUUAAAAUUAAGAUUCUUUUUAAUUUUAUGUAUAGUUCUAGCUAGCUGGUACACCACGCUCUUUUCGGUUGUGAAGUUAACAUUCCAAAAAAAUUAUGAAUUUGCAUCGUAAUUAUCAUUUCAGAGUUCAUGACUUCCCGUCAAAGAGCCGCCGAUUCUUGUGGUGAACACCCUGCUUUCUCUGCUAGCUGUGAAUAAUCCGGCGAAUAAACUAGCAUGUUAUGUUUCAGACGAUGGAUGCGUAGAGCCACAUACCUAAACGAUAUAAUAAAAGCGAAGUUAAGGAAAUAGACGAAUGUAAAAAAAGAAUACAAGAACGAUAAGAAAUCGUAUUCGCAAACAGACAUGGAGUCGAGAUAUGAUCUCUUUCCUUAUCUUAAAAUAUUUGCUCCGUUAGUGAGACGGGACUAUACGAAUAUAGAGUCCCAUGAUACAACCAUGGCAGACGAACCACACUUCUGAUCGCCCUAUCGAACUAUAAACUCUAUGAAACACUCUCGUAUUUAUGACUUACACAAAGGGAUUUUUUGCUGUUGGUUUCGAUGUAAAAAGCAGUGAAAAAUGAAGAGGAGGAGAGUUCAUAUUUAAAGAGGAGACGUGGAGCGGUUUUUCGAAACUGUUGCAAACGUUUUUCUAAAAUCUCUCAAAGAUCUUAGAGUGGAUCGUUGAGCAGCUUUUUCCGCAAGUUUCUCUCUUGUUGACUCGUUCUGAUCCAUUUCGAACAGAUAAACUUUGUGUCGUUUUUAUACGAACUACAUGUCGUUUACACACAAAUGUCAUGCUCUGGCAAAACAUUGAGCUUAAGUUGGUCCACCAAAACCAAGACCCACGCCCACGCCGAGCCGAGCCAGAAGGCGGCAGCGCGCGUGGGAAACUCUGUCUUCCUCUGAGCCGUUUAAUCCAAGAAGAGUGUGAUACCAUGUAUACAUCACAACAUCUCAUGUUUUAACCGAUGUGGGACUCUCUUAUUUCUUUUCAUUAAAGCCAACAAAACUUUUACUAAGAGCCCGUAAGCCCAUUUCGUUUUCACAUUUGCCUUUCAUUAUUUGAGCCAAUAUGCUUAAUAAUUAGGCCCAACAGGAUGCUCACCUCUCACAUACUUUUCUCUCAAGGAAGCUUCUAAGUUCGCCAAGAUUUGGGUUCCUUUCUGCAAGAAAUACAAAGUUAGAGUUAGAGCUCCUUUUAGAUAUUUCUUGAACCCUCUGCCCUCUUCAAGGGAUUCUGAAUUCACUAAAGAUUGGGAACUGAUGAAGGUAAUGAGUUCAAUUGUUAUUUUAUAUCAUUUUGCGUUUUUUUGUUUACGUUAGCAAAUUGAAUUAUUUUAGUUGUUUUCAGAUGCAUUAAAUUUAAAUAUUGAAAAAAAUUAAAACUUAUUAAGAAUUAAUUGGAAACUAGGUGGUUGCCCGCGAAUUCGCGUAUAUAAAUAUUUUACGAAAAUUAUAUAUUAUGUUUAUAAUUUUAUAAUUUUAAAAAAUAAUCAUAACUAUUAAAAACAACCUUUUUAUUUUAAAUAAUUUUAAAUAAUUUGAAAAUCAAAAAUCUUGGUAUUGUAUAAUCUUAAAAGAUUAUUGAGAUAUAUUGUUAAUUCUAUAAAUUUUAUUAUAAGUCUCCAAAAAGUCUUUUUAUGACAUGAUUUUUGAUUAGUAAAAAAAACCAAAGAUUAAUGAACAAAAAGUUUUUUUUAUAACAAUUUCUAUUUUUGCAUUAUUUUGUUUACCAAUUUAUAUUAUUUAGAAGUAAAAUAGUUACAAGUAAUUAAUCAAUUUAACAUUUAUAGUAAUACGUAAAAUACAUGUAUUUCGGUUAACAUAUAAAAAAUUAAGUAUGUAAAAGUAUAAAAUAACAAAGAAUACAACCAAGAAUACAACAAGCAAGUUUUAUUAUUCUUCAUUGAUGUUUCCUAUUACAAAAUAAGCAUGUCAAUUUUAUUAUAAUCAAAAUUAUAUCAAUAGAGUCUUAACUCUAGUCAUGUAUUAAUAUAUUGCUCUUAUUUUUUUAAUUUAUAUUAUAAUAAACUUUUUCAUUGAUUAAUAUUAUUUUAAAUAAUUUACCAUAUAAUUUUAUUAUAAUCAAGGAUAUAAGAAUUAUAUUAAUAGAGUAUAUUAAUUUUAGUCUCGUAUUAAUAGAGUAUAUUAAUUUUAGCCUCGUAUUAGUAUAAUAUUAAAAGACUUACUAUAUAUUUUACUGUUUUUAAAUAUAAAAAUACUUUAAUUAUUUCUGAAAGUAAUAACUCAACUAUACAAUCAACAUUUGUCACUCAAAAAUGACUAACUGUUUUUAAAAUUGUAUAUUUAACUUUUUUGCACUCAUUGGAUACAUUUUAAAAUUAUAUAUUUGAUUGUUUUGCAUUCAUUGGAUACUAUCCAACUGGUUUAACUGCCGCGUAAACGUGUCUGCAUUUUAGAACCUUGGUGAUAUGUUUAGAGAUGGUGGUUAUUGGUCAUAUAUUAUAAGUUUCUUUUCCAAUAAAAAAUAUUUAAAAGCAACAUGUGCAUAAUUCCAUAUUUUCUGAGACUAGAAAUCCAGAUCUCCUGGUAUAGAAUCAUUAAUGAACCAUUAGUCAAACUACUGGACCAAAUAGACUUCCACAGAAAAUAAUAGAUUAUUCCCAAGUAAUUGAAUCUAGAGUUUUUUGUUUGUUUGUUAAAAAGGCUAUGAUUGAAUCCAGUUGGUCAGGUGAAAAAAUAAGACUCCAUCACAUAUGUUUUCCAGAAAAAGAAGGCAAUGCAAGGAAGUAAUGACUUGUUUUUUUCUUAUAAUAUUGUCACAUCCCAAUUUUUCUUAAACCAAGAUGAAUUUUUAUUAUUAUUAUUAACUUAAUUUGGCCCAAAGCUCAUUAACCCUUAUUUUUUUCUGUUCCGCAUAAUAAGCCCUAGAGUUUUUAAAUUCUUAUCUUAUAAAUAGAAGGCGGCCUUUUCUUUGUCUCCCAUCAUAAACCUAGAGCGAAGCUCUGCAAAGUUUCAGAGAAAUCUGAAAACCUUAGCCGUCAAGAUUUUUCUUUCUUCUCUUCUCUCUCUUUCUCUCUUGGCCAUACUUUCUCUCUUGGCCAUACUCUCUCUCACUUGCGUCUCUCUCUCUCUCACUUGCGUCUCUCUCUCUCUCUCUCUCUCUCUCUCUCUCUCUCUCUCUCUCUCUCUCUCUUUGUUUUCCGUUUGUGCAUGCCGGAGCCAAGCCAUCGAAGAUCCCUAACAAACCUAGAUGUAUUUAGAUCUCUUCUUGUCUUCUUUCUACAUCUUGUCACAGGUGAGAUAAGAAACCCUAAUUCUUGUUUAAUCCAUCUCAUUUUCUCUUUUAUAUUAGAUAUUUCAUCUUAGGUCGCUUGGUGGUAACACUGAUCUUUUCUCUUGUAAAUCAGGUUCAGUGAAAGCCUUCUGUUAUAGAUCUGCUUCUCCCCUCCAUUAUGUUCGCAUAUCUAAUGCCAAUGUAAGACCUGAUGUGAUCUUUCUUCCCUCUUACAUUAUUGCUUCAUAGUGGGAUUUACUAUUUAAAUCAUUCAUACAUGCGUGUUAACUAUGAGCAUACACAUAUUUGUUUGAUAAGUGAACUAUAUCGUAUAUAUAUAUAUACACCUAUUGUAUUGUAGUGCGUGAAUACCUAGAUCUACUCAUAUAUUGCUAAAAUGAAUAUGAUUGUAUGAUAAUUGAAACUUGUAUGAGGAUGUUUGCAUUGCGUGGGGAUUAAGCAUGUGUAGUUAGUGUAUAUGAGAUAGGAGAGGUCUAAAGGCCUAUGAGUGUCGGUGCAACGUGAUUGAGAGUUCUUGGGCGUUGCAUCGUUUUUUGAUGGGUAAUACGGAGACCGAAUGAGGUAGCAUGAUUCAUCGCCGAAGCAGGUAGACAGUCUGCUCGGAUCAUGCGGGAACCGAACAAGGUGACGUGACCGUGUAAACACAGUGGCGGAUUAAGCAUGAACCAAUGUGGUAACUUGAUUGCGUGAUGGUGUUGAACUCACGGGCACAGAUUUAGGUGGUGAGCUCUCAAGCGACAACAUGAAGAACGCAUGGACCGAAUGAGGUGGCUUGAUCUCAUAUUGGCACCGUCAGAGUUUAUCCUCAUUACUUGUUAUUUGAUCUUGUUUUACUGGAUGUUCUAGGCAGAUCUUUUAUUAUGUUGAGGUAAGAAACCCUAGUUCUUGUUUAAUCCAUCUCAUUUUUCUCCUUUAUAUUAUAUAUUUCAUCCUAGGUCGCUUGGUGGUAGCACCGAUCCUGUCAUGUCCCCGAUCCUAGAUAGGAUCGUCCAGACGGACCAUGGUGCGAGGAGACGCACCAGUCAGGUCGUAAGACCUUGAGAUAAGCGUACUAUGGCACAAAAUGAAGGUUAAGGGCAUCAGGAAGCUGAAACUUAACCAGAAUAUGAGGGAAACAUGUAAUAAGGAACUGGAUGAGUGAACCGGAAGCUGUAUGAGGUCCGGAUCAAGCUCAGCUAGCUAGGUGCAGCUGUAAACUAGUUCACCAUGACUUAAUCAGCUCACAUGAGCUGGAAUACUAGCUGAUGCGCCUCGGAUCAUAGACCCGGGCCAGGAUGAUGCGACCAUGGCUGAGCCAGAUGAUUCUUCAACAAAAGACAAACCAGGAUGGAUUAAUGGUGAGGAUAUUGAUCUAAAACCAGCUGAUGAGACUGAGGACGAGCUGGAACCAGCUGAAGAGAGUAUGCUUGAGCUGAAACCAGCUGAAGUGAUAGUAGAUGAGCUAGAUGAGCUGAGUGAGCUAAGUGAUACUAGCUUGGAGCUGAAUGAGCUAAGUGACACUGAAGAUGGAGCUGGUUUAGUUGCUGGGCGAAAUAAGCAUUUUUCAGCCCAAAGAAAAAUUCAUAACAAAUUCAAUUUGGGUCGGUUUUACACCAAAUUCUACCAGACCUUUCCUCAGUCCAUUUCAAGCCCAUUCUCAUCAAGAAUGCCAAGAGGGAGUCAGCAAGGAAGUCUUGGUCGUGCAUGGGAAAAAGAAUUCAACAAAAAUCAUUAAUUUCGGUCUUUAGUCAAAGUCUUCAUUUCUAGUUUCCAUGUCUUGUUUUUAGCACAUUCUUCUUUGGAUUUCUACAACUUGUAAUCCUAUAUAUAGGGCCUAAGAGCCACGAAAUAAGAUAAGCUUUUUCCCCUUUUAUUUGAGUUUAUCUAUUUGUUCUUUGUAGAACACUUCUUUGUUUCUUGGUGAGGUUAUCUCCGAGUAAACAGCCUCUAAUUCGUUGGACCUGUGCGUCAUAUCAGGCAACGUUUAGAAAUCCUUCUUUUGGUGGACUUGUGAGUCAUAUCAAGCACCAACUGAAGUCUGGUAGUAUCAUUGGGCCAUCCGCAACCCAUUGUGUCACCGUUCAAUCCAUCAGUUCUCCUUUUUGGCGAGUUCAUAUCCCUUUAGUCCGGUCGAGUGAUCCUUCCCUAUUUUAGGGCGUAUCAAGUGGUAUCAGAGCCACUCAACCGGUACUAUCUAUCCAUCUUUCUCAUCUUUCAUUUCUAAACACUUCUUCUUCAUCUUUCUAUCUCAAAUCCGGGCCACUACCUUACCUAUCGCCAUUCUUCUAUAAAAAAAUAAAAAGAGAAAAGAAAAGAAAAAAAAAAGAUCUAUCAAAAAAAAAGAGAAAAGAAAAAAAAAAGUUUGAUUUAUUUGGCUAGGUGGUGGAAGAGAAAUCCUGCUGGCUGAGGAGAAAUCCAGCCUUGGAGUGGUUAAUACGGAUUUCAAAACCAAUUCUCUUUAUCUUUCUAUCUUGUGUUCAUCUCUUGCUUGCUUGGAGAAAUCCAUUGGGUUAUUUGAUUUGUUCUCUUAGAACUUUGAGAGGAGACUCUUGAGUGACCAUAAAAUCUGAGAGAAACACUUGUGUGGGUGAGAUCAAACACUUGAGAGUGUGAGGAUUAUUUUUAUCUGUUAACCUUUUGUGUUGAGAACUUUCAGGUUAAGAUGUUUGAAGCUGAUCAAAGAAGGCUUUUCAGUCAGUUUGAAGUCUGGGAGUUUUGUGACAACCUUGUGGAGGGUGUGGUGAAAGCCCUCAAGGACGUCAGCAAGAUCCAAAAGAAGAGCACAACCACACGUGCAUCUGUAGCUAAGCCUUCCUUAUUCAUCAAUGAAAAACCCAAAGGUAAAUCUGAAAACAACCUUGAAGAUCAAAAAGAUUUUUCAGAUUCUUUACCAAUUUUUGAUGAGUAUGAUGAAGAGAUGAUUGAAAGUUUGAUCAUUUGUGAGGAUGAAUGUGAUCUUCCAUCUCCAAAAUCUGAUUUUAUGUUUGAUGAUGAAGAGACUAAUGGACUAACCUGUUUUGAACCGGAGCAUCCGAGUAGUCUUGUUCUAUUUUCACAGGAUUUUAAGGAAGAACCAUUCGACUACUCACAUCAAGGACUGCUUCUUGGCACCAGGAGACCCAUGGACGAUGAUCUAGGUCCCAUAUUUGAUGAGGAAGGCGAACCUGGUCCAACCUUUGAAGCGGAAGCACCAAGCAUAACAUCCAUCAUCAUGGAGAACCAACUUUGCUUUGAUCCCGGCACAACUCCUACGCCUUUGACCACAUACAUUCAAGAGCACUGUGAGAAACUUGAUUUGAUUAAUUUUCUGCCUGAUCUGUUUGAUAAAGUCAGUUCCAAUGACAUAAAACUUUCUGGUCUUGAUCAUCUUGAAAAGUCAUCUGAGCUUGAUUUGCAACAACUAGUUUUCUGCUCUAGAAAAUCGUUUGAUUCAUUUGUCUUCAAAGAAAAUAGCUUUAGUCUGAGAUCUUAUGGACAUGAACUGAUCACUGGAAUUUUGUUUGCAUCCUCAUAUGCUUUGGAAGAUUUUAUGGUUAGCACAUUGCUGGAACAGAAUUCACAUAAAGCUGAAACAGAUUUUUGUGGUGAUUCUGUUUUGAAACCUGUCCAUUCUUAUUCUGAAUCUGAUCUUGAACUAAAACUUUUGUGUUCUGAAUCUGAUCAAGUUAGGCACGUUUUGGAAAUGUUCUAUGGUAGUUCAUGCCUCGAAAACAUUCUGAUUUACAACACCUUCUUUGAUAAACAUGCUGAGCCUUGGAUAAGAAAUUCCCAAUUUGAACUUAAUCUUUUGUGUUCUAAAUCUUAGAAACUUGCGCAUGAUUUGAAUUUGUUCUUUAGGAACUGUGCUAUCACGUGCCCUGACACCAUUCUGGUGUACAAGACUUACUUUGAUAGGCUUCAUGAUGAUCUGAAACGUGUGCUACAUGUUCUAGGGAAAGAAAAUUUGGUUUAUGAUCUGAACAAGUACUUGUCUUGUACAUAUGAUCCUGGUAUUUUAAUGUUUGUUUUGAGUGUCCAGGAUAAACAGGAUCAGUCUCCAAGAGGUGUCAGGAACAGAAGCAGAGAUCGUGCUUAUCAGUUUAAGACUUGGAGAUGCAUGUACUCGAGGAAACCAACUUCAAAACUCCAAGGAAGUUUCUUUCCAAAAUUUUCCUUCACUAAAUUUUACAUGAUUUUUAAAUUCUUUUUGUCUGAUUCAUUUCCUUUUGAUACAGGUAAAAUGGAUUUGAGGUCAAAUCCUUUUCAAGAGGGAGGGAAUGAUGCGCCUCGGAUCAUAGACCCGGGCCAGGAUGAUGCGACCAUGGCUGAGCCAGAUGAUUCUUCAACAAAAGACAAACCAGGAUGGAUUAAUGGUGAGGAUACUGAUCUAAAACCAGCUGAUGAGACUGAGGACGAGCUGGAACCAGCUGAAGAGAGUAUGCUUGAGCUGAAACCAGCUGAAGUGAUAGUAGAUGAGCUAGAUGAGCUGAGUGAGCUAAGUGAUACUAGCUUGGAGCUGAAUGAGCUAAGUGACACUGAAGAUGGAGCUGGUUUAGUUGCUGGGCGAAAUGAGCAUUUUUCAGCCCAAAGAAAAAUUCAUAACAAAUUCAAUUUGGGUCGGUUUUACACCAAAUUCGACCAGACCUUUCCUCAGUCCAUUUCAAGCCCAUUCUCAUCAAGAAUGCCAAGAGGGAGUCAGCAAGGAAGUCUUGGUCGUGCAUGGGAAAAAGAAUUCAACAAAAAUCAUUAAUUUCGGUCUUUAGUCAAAGUCUUCAUUUCUAGUUUCCAUGUCUUGUUUUUAGCACAUUCUUCUUUGGAUUUCUACAACUUGUAAUCCUAUAUAUAGGGCCUAAGAGCCACGAAAUAAGAUAAGCUUUUUCCCCUUUUAUUUGAGUUUAUCUAUUUGUUCUUUGUAGAACACUUCUUUGUUUCUUGGUGAGGUUAUCUCCGAGUAAACAGCCUCUAAUUCGUUGGACCUGUGCGUCAUAUCAGGCAACGUUUAGAAAUCCUUCUUUUGGUGGACUUGUGAGUCAUAUCAAGCACCAACUGAAGUCUGGUAGUAUCAUUGGGCCAUCCGCAACCCAUUGUGUCACCGUUCAAUCCAUCAGUUCUCCCUUUUGGCGAGUUCAUAUCCCUUUAGUCCGGUCGAGUGAUCCUUCCCUAUUUUAGGGCGUAUCACUAGCUCACUCAGCUGGGAACAGUUGGUGGUCCGCUCAUCUCAGCUGGGAGGAGUGUUCCGGUCCGAACCAGUGUGGUCGGGUCCGAGAGGUUACGGCCGAGCCGGUGGUCCAUGUAUAUUUACCUCUUUAAUGAAACAUUUUGGUCAUUUUGCUCUUUGUGGUCUAUUUUUGUGACCAAAACUUUUUUAGUGAUAUCCUAGGGUAUUUCUCUUAACUAUAAGCAUACACAUAUUUGUUUGAUAAGUGAACUAUAUCGUAUAUAUAUAUAUAUACACCUAUUGUAUUGUAGUGUGUGAAUACCUAGAUCUACUCAUAGAUUGCUAAAACGAAUAUGAUUGUAUGAUAAUUGAAACUUGUAUGCGGAUGUUUGCAUUGCGUGGGGAUUAAGCAUGUGUGGUUAGUGUAUAUGAGAUAGGAGAGGUCUAAAGCCCUACGGUGAAACGUGAUGGAGAGUUUUUGGCCGUUGCAUUGUUUUUUGAUGGGUAAUGCAGAGACCAAAUGAGGUAGCAUGAUUCAUCGCCGAAGCAGGUAGACGGCCUGCUCGGAUCAUUUGGGAACCAAACAAGUUGACGUGAUCGUGUAAACACAGUGGCGGAUCAAGCGUGAACCAGUGUGGUAACUUGAUUGUGUGAUGGUGUUGAACUCACGGGUACAGAUUUAGGUGGUGAGCUCUCAAGCGACAACAUGAAGAACACAUGGACCGAAUGGGGUGGCGUGAUCUCAUAUUGACACCGUCAGAGUUUAUCCUCGUUACUUGUUAUUUGAUCUUGAUUUACUGGAUGUUCUAGGCAGAUCUUUUGUUAUGUUGUGCGGUGAAUGUUGAGUGAUGAUUUCGGGGCUACAAAAACUUUUUUCACUAAGCUUUUGUGGAAAUGUUUAUCCCUCAUUAUUCUUUUUUUUUUUUUGCAGGUUGGUGGGUUUUUGUUUAAGGCAUUCUAAACGUUGAAAGACAUAUUGUUUUACUCCUUAGGAUAAAGACAAGUGACUUGAUAUCACCCAGCUGUGUUGGGUUGGGAUGUUACAAAUAUUCAGUUGAUUUCUCUUUUAUUUAAUAAUGAUAAUGAAGAACCAUUACGUGAUAUCUCUUUCCUCUUCGACGACCACUCAUCCAUCACUAAAAACACACAAGAGCAAACGGAAUAAAAAGACAACUCUAUCGUCAUCCUAAAUCGAAUCAGACCACAAAAAAAACCACCUCAAAUACCCAAAGAUACACACAUCAUUGAGAAUAUAACUGUAUUAGUAUACGGUUAAAAAAAGUAUACGGUUUAAUAACCAGUUUAUACAUUUUAUUUAAUCAUUGUAUCUAAAGGAUAAAGUAUUCCAUUUUUGUUUGAUUGUGGCUACAAUUUCUCUUUGUCACUCUUUUAUUGUUAACAAAAGGUCUACUCAAUAUAACCUCUUCUCACCACUCCUUUUUAUUAUAAUAUAUAUACUCCUUUUCAGAACACUCUACAGUAUACACACUAUGACUAUAUGAGUACAAGCAUUCGUAGACGUAAAACUACUUAGAAAGCUCACAAGAAAGCUCCUCCCAUGGCGGAUUCUAGCUCUUCUCUCCCUUCUCUUUUCGAAAAGAUCUCAUACAGAAGAUAUUUUCUGAGAGCUGUGGAUCUCAUGAUGCUCGGGCUUCUCUUAUCUCUUCUCUUGUACCGGAUUCUACAUAUGAGCGAAAACGAUAACGUUUGGGUCGUAGCUUUCCUGUGUGAAUCUUUUUUCACUGUCAUAUGGCUGCUUGUUACUUGCAUAAAAUGGACCCCUGCCGAGUAUAAACCAUAUCCAGAUCGACUUGAUGAAAGGUAUCAUGGAAUAUAUAUGCACACAUAGCAUAUAUGCUUAUUCAUUUUUGUAUAAAGAUCUAGGCUUCUGGUAGCUGCUACCAUAUUCUAAUUAAUUCUAUUUUUAUAUUAUGCAGUAAUCAUUUUGAAUUUUUCUUUAUGAACUAACUAGUACUGUUUCAGGGUUCAUGACCUUCCAUCGGUAGAUAUGUUUGUAACCACGGCGGAUCCAGUUCGGGAGCCGCCGAUUCUUGUUGUAAACACCGUGCUUUCGGUGCUAGCUGUGAAUUAUCCGGCGAAUAAACUAGCAUGUUAUGUUUCAGAUGAUGGAUGCUCACCUCUCACUUACUUCUCUCUCAAGGAAGCUUCUAACUUCGCCAAGAUUUGGGUUCCUUUCUGCAAGAAAUACAACGUUAAAGUUAGAGCUCCUUUUAGAUAUUUCUUGAACUCUCUGGACGCAACAGAGGAUUCAGAAUUCAGCAGGGCCUGGAAAAUGACGAAGGUAAAGUAUUUGAUUGCCUUUUAGGCGUUUGAGUUUGUUUCUACGUACGUUCACAACAAAUUAGUUAUAUCAUGUUUACUUUAAAGUAAAAGACAAGACCUUCCCAUUUUUUAAUCAAACAUUCAAAACUGCAAGCAGAUGGAAAAGAUAACUAAAAUAAAUAUAUAUUGAAUUUGCGCUUAUAAAUUCCUUAAAUGUUGUUAAAAAUAAGGCAUCAAUCUUUAUAGAGAACAGAAG
rnacentral:lncRNA from 1 species